ACUCCUACGGGAGGCAGCAGUGGGAAUAUUGCGCAAUGGGCGAAAGCCUGACGCAGCGACGCCGCGUGGGGGAUGAAGGCCUUCGGGUUGUAAACCCCUUUCAGCAGGGACGAAGCGAGAGUGACGGUACCUGCAGAAGAAGCGCCGGCUAACUACGUGCCAGCAGCCGCGGUAACACGUAGGGNGCAAGCGUUGUCCGGAAUUAUUGGGCGUAAAGAGCUCGUAGGCGGUCUGUUGCGUCCGCUGUGAAAACUCGGGGCUUAACCCCGAGCCUGCAGUGGAUACGGGCAGACUAGAGGUAGGUAGGGGAGAAUGGAAUUCCCGGUGUAGCGGUGAAAUGCGCAGAUAUCGGGAGGAACACCGGUGGCGAAGGCGGUUCUCUGGGCCUUACCUGACGCUGAGGAGCGAAAGCGUGGGGAGCGAACAGGAUUAGAUACCCUGGUAGUCCACGCCGUAAACGUUGGGCGCUAGGUGUGGGAUCCUUCCACGGAUUCCGUGCCGCAGCUAACGCAUUAAGCGCCCCGCCUGGGGAGUACGGCCGCAAGGCUAAAACUCAAAGGAAUUGACGGGGGCCCGCACAAGCGGCGGAGCAUGUUGCUUAAUUCGACGCAACGCGAAGAACCUUACCAAGGUUUGACAUGCAGGGAAAAGCCGUAGAGAUACGGUGUCCGUAAGGGUCCUNCACAGGUGGUGCAUGGCUGUCNUCAGCUCGUGUCGUGAGAUGUUGGGUUAAGUCCCGCAACGAGCGCAACCCUCGUCCUAUGUUGCCAGCGGAUAAUGCCGGGGACUCAUAGGAGACUGCCGGGGUCAACUCGGA
rnacentral:rRNA from 1 species